GUCAUCGGCCCCUGCCCCCGGGCGACGUCAGCGUGCCGGCGGGGGCGCGGCCUUGGUGGGCGGGGCCUAGGUGGGCGGGGCCGCGGCGGGAGGAGCCAAUGGUCGAGCGCGGCGGGGAGGGAGCGAACGGACCUGCGCGGAAGGAACGGACCGGCGCGGGAAGGAGGCGCACCUGCCGCAGGUCACACACACCUUCACCCGGACCUGCUGCCACCCACCACAAUGACCAUGGAGGAAACUGAAAAGCAGUUUGGUUUUCCUCCAGCCUUCCCAUCCGGUGGCCUUCCUCCUGAAUUCCUUAGGUAUUUGACAUCUUUAUACUGGACCCCUGGUCAUCCAAAUGAGAAGCAGCCGUGCAUAUGCCCAGCUCGGGCACACAGAGAUCCUCCUAAGUGCUGCGCUGACCUACGAGCCCAUCAGAGUCACGUAGCUGAGGCCCUCUUCAAAGAAUCGGGAGUCAUUUUCAGAAAAACACCUUAGCUUUCUCACCUCAUGCUCGAAAUCAACUUAAAAACUGUAGUCAUCAACAUUCUAUUUGAAGAAACCAUGUAUGGCAAACUUACCGUCUUAGUCAAAUAAACCAUGACA